AUUAAAGGAGGAUCUGGUAGGUGCAAAGCUUUCUGCUAACACCUUCAGCACUUUGCAUUCUUUAUUUUCUCAUUUAUCUCUUGGCAUUUUGUUGUUGCCCGUGUCACCCUGAUCCACGAGUCCAGAGAGUCUCACUCUGUUGCCAGGCUGGAGUGCAGUGACGCAACCUUGGAUCACUGCAACCUCUGCCUCCUGGGUUCAAGCAAUUCUCAUGCCUCAGGAAGGAAGGAGAAAGAAAGAAGAAAGAAAGAAGAAAGAAAGAAAGAAAGAAAGAAAGAAAGAAAGAAAGAAAGAAAGAAAGAAAGAAAGAAAGAAAGAAAGAAAGAAAGAAAGAAAGAAAGAAGAAAGAAAGAAAGGAAGGAAGGAAGGAAGGAAGGAAGGAAGGAAGGAAGGAAGGGAAGGAAGAGAGAGAAGGAAGGAAGGGAGGGAGGGAGAGAGAGAGAGAAAGGAAGGAAGAAAAAGAAAGAAAGGAAGGAAGGAAGAAAGAAAAAGAAAGAAAGAAAGAAAGAUUGAUUGACUUUAAGGAAUUGGAUCACACAGUUGUGGAGACCAGCAGAUCCAAAGUCUGCAGAGUCCAGAG
rnacentral:lncRNA from 1 species